GACGAACGCUGGCGGCGUGCUUAACACAUGCAAGUCGAACGGAAAGGCCCUGCUUUUGUGGGGUGCUCGAGUGGCGAACGGGUGAGUAACACGUGAGUAACCUGCCCUUGACUUUGGGAUAACUUCAGGAAACUGGGGCUAAUACCGGAUAGGAGCUCCUGCUGCAUGGUGGGGGUUGGAAAGUUUCGGCGGUUGGGGAUGGACUCGCGGCUUAUCAGCUUGUUGGUGGGGUAGUGGCUUACCAAGGCUUUGACGGGUAGCCGGCCUGAGAGGGUGACCGGCCACAUUGGGACUGAGAUACGGCCCAGACUCCUACGGGAGGCAGCAGUGGGGAAUAUUGCACAAUGGGCGGAAGCCUGAUGCAGCAACGCCGCGUGCGGGAUGACGGCCUUCGGGUUGUAAACCGCUUUCGCCUGGGACGAAGCGUGAGUGACGGUAAUGGGCAAAGAAGCACCGGCUAACUACGUG
rnacentral:rRNA from 1 species